UACGGAGGAUGCAAGCGUUAUCCGGAAUGAUUGGGCGUAAAGCGUCCGCAGGUGGCAAUGUAAGUCUGCUGUCAAAGCGUCUGGCUCAACCAGAUAAAGGCAGUGGAAACUACAUAGCUAGAGUAAGGUAGGGGUAGAGGGAAUUCCUGGUGUAGCGGUGAAAUGCGUAGAGAUCAGGAAGAACACCGGUGGCGAAAGCGCUCUGCUGGACCUUAACUGACACUCAUGGACGAAAGCUAGGGGAGCGAAAGGG
rnacentral:rRNA from 1 species